rnacentral:rRNA from 1 species
CCUACGGGAGGCAGCAGUGAGGAAUAUUGGUCAAUGGACGGGAGCCUGAACCAGCCAAGCCGCGUGAGGGAAGAAGGUACAGCGUAUCGUAAACCUCUUUUGUCAGGGAACAAAGGCGGGGACUAGUCCCCGGAUGAGGGUACCUGAAGAAAAAGCAUCGGCUAACUCCGUGCCAGCAGCCGCGGUAAUACGGAGGCGGCGAGCGUUAUCCGGAUUUAUUGGGUUUAAAGGGUGGGCAGGCGGCCUGUUAAGUCAGCGGGAAAAGCCCGGGGCUCAACCACGGCGAGCCUUUGAAACUGGCGGGCUGGAGUGGGAGAGAAGUACGCGGAAGGCGCGGUGUAGCGGUGAAAUGCUUAGAUA